rnacentral:rRNA from 1 species
AACGAACGCUGGCGGCAGGCUUAACACAUGCAAGUCGAGCGCCCCGCAAGGGGAGCGGCAGACGGGUGAGUAACGCGUGGGAACAUACCCUUUGGUUCGGAAUAACUCAGGGAAACUUGAGCUAAUACCGGAUACGUCCGUAAGGAGAAAGAUUUAUCGCCAAAGGAUUGGCCCGCGUCCGAUUAGCUAGUUGGUGAGGUAACGGCUCACCAAGGCUACGAUCGGUAGCUGGUCUGAGAGGAUGAUCAGCCACAUUGGGACUGAGACACGGCCCAAACUCCUACGGGAGGCAGCAGUGGGGAAUAUUGGACAAUGGGCGGCAAGCCUGAUCCAGCCAUGCCGCGUGAGUGAUGAAGGCCUUAGGUUGUAAGCUCUUUGUCCGGGAAGAUAAUGACUGUACCGGAAGAAUAAGCCCCGGCUAACUUCGUGCCAGCAGCCGCGGU